rnacentral:lncRNA from 1 species
AAACAUUUGGCUUGAUACCUUGCUGAGUCCUGCCAAUCAGCUUGAAUUUUGAGCUGAGAGCCAAUUGGGACUGGACUUGGAAAAGAGUAGGUGGCUGAGCGAGCUGCAGGCCCACUGAGAUGCACCAAGACUGACAGAAAAGAAAUGUCUUGAGGAUGCUCAGUUUUCAGAGCCACUGUCAGGAGAAGAGGGCAGUGACUAGGAAACACGGGCAGGAUGGCAGCAGAAGGGUCCUUCCAUGUGGAGGGGAGAGCCAUUAGGCUCCCUCUGAGCUCCAUCCUGCACACAAGCAACCAGAGAGUGGAGGGACACAGGUGACAGCUUGGGGCCUAAUGGCCUUCCCUCUAUUUUUAUUUCUCAGCUGGGGGUUGAAUGUUCUCAUUUUAAGUCAUUUGUCCUUUUCAACUCUGAGAAAAGAGAUGGUUUCUCCCUCCUCCAACUCUAUUAUCUAUAUUUCUUGUUCUUUGUUACAGAAAGAAAAGAAAAACAAAACACUAAGAUUAUUUCUCUAAGAAGUUUCUUACGUUCAGAAAACCGUACAUGAAUGUAGCUGAGCGCUCUGUAAAGUGGUACAUUCUGCUCCACUCCUGCCCAAUGUUUAGAGAGGCUGCCAAGGAUGCCUGCAACCUGGGCAUUGGGGAGGAAUGAAGAUAGUUCAGACAGGGAUUUUAGUUUGAAAACCCAAGUGGCACCUGGAGUUCAUUCAUGUCCUCUUGUGGAUAGAGGCCUAGUGGUGGGUCUGCUGGGGGUGAGUUUCAGCAUGGCACAAUCCCAAUACCUGGUGACUGAGACCCAGAAAGACAGCUUUGUGAACAUAAAUCAGAGAAAGCUGUUUCACUAUGAGAUGCAUAAGGAAGGAAUGUGUACUUUCUCCAGACUGUCGAGGUUUGUGUUCCAGUAAUGCCAGUGGAAAUCUGUGUGACCUGUGGAUGUUCAUAGCAGCAUUAUUGAUAAUAGCCCAAACUGAAAACAACCUAAAUGUCCAUCAACUGGUGAAUAGAUAGACAAAAUUAAUAGAAUGCCAUUGAAUACUAUUCCGCAAUAAAAAGGAAGACACAACUGACA